GCUAUAAACCGUCUAUAUCUGUACAACAAUCAAAUAACUGCAAUACAACAAGGAACAUUUCAAGACCUUCCAGCGCUGGACCGUCUGUAUUUGUACAGCAAUCAAAUAACUUCAAUACAGGAAGGAGCAUUUCAAGACCUACCAGCGCUAAACUCUCUGU